UCUUGUAAUGGAAUGAUGGGAAUCUAAACCCCUUCCAGAGUAUCAAUUGGAGGGCAAGUCUGGUGCCAGCAGCCGCGGUAAUUCCAGCUCCAAUAGCGUAUAUUAAACUUGUUGCAGUUAAAAAGCUCGUAGUUGAACUUCUGCUGUCAGGUUUUCGUUCCUUUCGGGGUUUCGUCAACCUGGUGGCUUUUUUCUGGGUGAAUUUAGCUUCGGCUUAAUUUCCCAGUAUUUUACUUUGAGAAAAUUAGAGUGCUUCAAGCAGGCUUUUGCCGUGAAUACUUCAGCAUGGAAUAAUAAAGUAGGACUUUGGUUCUAUUUUGUUGGUUUCUGAACCAAAGUAAUGGUUAAUAGGAACAGUUGGGGGCAUUCGUAUUUAACUGUCAGAGGUGAAAUUCUUAGAUUUGUUAAAGACGAACUACUGCGAAAGCAUUUGCCAAGGAUGUUUUCAUUAAUCAAGAACGAAAGUUAGGGGAUCGAAGACGAUCAGAUACCGUCGUAGUCCUAACCAUAAACUAUGCCGACUAGAGAUUGGAGGUCGUCAUUUAAAACGACUCC
rnacentral:rRNA from 1 species